CGCGUAGGUGGAACGUUAAGUCCGGUCUGAAAGCCCCCGGCUCAACCGGGGAGGGUGGCUGGAAACUGGCGUUCUUGAGGGCGAGAGAGGAGGGUGGAAUUCCUGGUGUAGCGGUGAAAUGCGUAGAGAUCAGGAGGAACACCCGUGGCGAAGGCGGCCCUCUGGCUCGACCCUGACGCUGAGGCGCGAAAGCGUGGGGAGCGAAC
rnacentral:rRNA from 1 species